UCAAAGGUGUAACCUGCCCAAUGAUCUUAAACUUAAAAAAUAUAACUAUUUUUAAAAAGAUUUAAAGGACGCAGUAUCCUGACUGUGAUAAUGUAGCAUAAUCAUUCGCCAUUUAAUUGAUGGAUAGUAUGAAUGGUUGAACGAAUUCUUCACUGUCUUAAAAAAAGAAAUAAUGAAAUUUAAAUAAUAGUAAAGAUGCUAUUUAAAAUUGUAAGACGAAAAGACCCUAUAGAGCUUAACUAUAAGUUCUUUUAGUUAAAAGAACAUAAUUCUCAAAAUAAAGAACUUGGUAGUUUAGUUGGGGCGACUAUCUUCUAAUAUUAACGAAGACAAGCAAAAUUAAUAUAUAAUUUAUUGUAUAACCUAUAAGUUUAACAAUUACAAAAGUAGGCAUAAUGACCCGUUUUCAUUUAGUAAUUAAAGAAAACGAUCAAUAAAUAAAAGCUACCUUAGGGAUAACAGGAUAAUUUUGUUUUAGAGAUCCUAUCGAAAACAAAGUUUGUCACCUCUAUGUUGAAUUAAGAUAUCCUAGUAAUGCAGAAGUUACUAAAGGUAGGUCUGUUC
rnacentral:rRNA from 1 species